rnacentral:rRNA from 1 species
GGUUAAGUUAGUAAGGGCGCACGGUGGAUGCCUUGGCACUAGGAGCCGAUGAAGGACGUGACAAACGACGAAAUGCUUUGGGUAGCUGUAAGUAAGCGAAGAUCCAGAGAUGUCCGAAUGGGGGAACCCACUAGCUGCUGGCUAGUAUCUUUAGUUGUUAAGACUAAAGAGGGAAGACGCAGUGAACUGAAACAUCUAAGUAGCUGCAGGAAGAGAAAGCAAACGCGAUUGCCUGAGUAGCGGCGAGCGAAACGGCAGGAGGGCAAACCGAGUGGUUUACCACUCGGGGUUGUAGGACUGCGACAUGUGAAGUUAGACUAUAGAAGAAUGACAUGGGAAGGUCAGCCAAAGAGAGUGAGAGCCUCGUAUUUAAAAUAGUUUAAUGAACUAGCAGUAUCCUGAGUACGGCGGGACACGAGAAAUCCCGUCGGAAUCUGGGAGGACCAUCUCCCAACCCUAAAUACUCCCUAGUGACCGAUAGUGAACCAGUACCGUGAGGGAAAGGUGAAAAGCACCCCGGGAGGGGAGUGAAAUAGAACCUGAAACCGUGUGCCUACAAGAAGUUCGAGCCCGUUAAUGGGUGAGAGCGUGCCUUUUGUAGAAUGAACCGGCGAGUUACGAUUACAUGCGAGGUUAAGUUGAAGAGACGGAGCCGCAGGGAAACCGAGUCUGAAAAGGGCGGUAUAGUAUGUAGUCGUAGACCCGAAACCAUGUGACCUACCCAUGAGCAGGUUGAAGGUGAGGUAAAACUCACUGGAGGACCGAACCAGGGCACGUUGAAAAGUGCUUGGAUGACUUGUGGGUAGCGGAGAAAUUCCAAACGAACUUGGAGAUAGCUGGUUCUCUCCGAAAUAGCUUUAGGGCUAGCGUCGACAUUAAGAAUCUUGGAGGUAGAGCACUGUUUGGGUGAGGGGUCCAUCUCGGAUUACCAAUCUCAGAUAAACUCCGAAUGCCAAUGAUUUAUGGUCGGCAGUCAGACUGCGAGUGCUAAGAUCCGUAGUCGAAAGGGAAACAGCCCAGACCACCAGCUAAGGUCCCAAAAUAAUUGUUAAGUGGAAAAGGAUGUGGGGUUGCACAGACAACUAGGAUGUUAGCUUAGAAGCAGCUAUUCAUUCAAAGAGUGCGUAAUAGCUCACUAGUCGAGUGACCCUGCGCCGAAAAUGUACCGGGGCUAAAACAAUUUACCGAAGCUGUGGAUCCUAAUAAGGAUGGUAGGAGAGCGUUCUAUGUGUGGAGAAGGUGUACCGUGAGGAGCACUGGAACGCAUAGAAGUGAGAAUGCCGGUAUGAGUAGCGCAAGAUGGGUGAGAAUCCCAUCCACCGUAAGACUAAGGUUUCCAGGGGAAGGCUCGUCCGCCCUGGGUUAGUCGGGACCUAAGGAGAGACCGAAAGGUGUAUUCGAUGGACAACAGGUUGAUAUUCCUGUACUAGUAUAUAGAGUGAAGGAGUGACGCAGAAGGCUAGGGGAAGCCAGUUAAUGGAUUCUGGUCUAAACAGUGAGGUGUGGUAAGAGUCAAAUGCUUUUACCUGUAACAUUGAGCUGUGAUGGGGAGGUAGCUAAGGCUAUCGAGUCCCUGAUGUCAGGCUGCCGAGAAAAGCUUCUAGCGCUAAUCUAUAUACUACCCGUACCGCAAACCGACACAGGUAGUCGAGGCGAGUAGCCUCAGGUGAUCGAGAGAACUCUCGUUAAGGAACUCGGCAAAAUGGCCCCGUAACUUCGGGAGAAGGGGCGCUCAGUAUAACUGAGCCGCAGUGAAAAGGCCCAAGCAACUGUUUAUCAAAAACACAGCUCUCUGCUAAAUCGUAAGAUGAUGUAUAGGGGGUGACGCCUGCCCGGUGCUGGAAGGUUAAGAGGAGUGCUUAGCGGUAACGCGAAGGUAUGAAUUGAAGCCCCAGUAAACGGCGGCCGUAACUAUAACGGUCCUAAGGUAGCGAAAUUCCUUGUCGGGUAAGUUCCGACCCGCACGAAAGGCGUAAUGAUUUGGGCACUGUCUCAACGAGAGACUCGGUGAAAUUUUAGUACCUGUGAAGAUGCAGGUUACCCGCGACAGGACGGAAAGACCCCAUGGAGCUUUACUGCAGUUUGAUAUUGAGUAUCUGUGCCACAUGUACAGGAUAGGUAGGAGCCAAUGAUCUAGGGACGCCAGUUUCUAGUGAGGCGCUGUUGGGAUACUACCCUUGUUGUAUGGCUACUCUAACCCGGAUAGGUGA